rnacentral:rRNA from 1 species
AGAGUUUGAUCCUGGCUCAGAAUGAACGUUGGCGGCGUGGAUUAGGCAUGCAAGUCGAACGGGCCUGGUAGCAAUAUCAGGUCAGUGGCGUAAGGGUGAGUAAGGCGACGGCAACCAACCCCAUGGUUGGGCAUAGCCGCGGGAAACUGCGGGUAAUUCCCAGCGAUGUUCGUACCGGGCAUCCGGUGUGAACCAAAGUUCUGGCGCCGUGGGACGGGCCGUCGUGGUAUUAGGUAGUUGGCGGGGUAAUGGCCCACCAAGCCUCUGAUGCCUACCGGGCGUGCGAGCGUGGCCCGGCACACUGGGACUGAGACACUGCCCAGACUCCUACGGGAGGCUGCAGUCGAGAAUCUUCGGCAAUGGGCGCAAGCCUGACCGAGCGACGCCGCGUGGAGGAUGAAGGCCUUCGGGUUGUAAACUCCUGUCGAGGGGGAGGAAGGGGUAACCUUGACCUAUCCCUGGAGGAAGCACGGGCUAAGUUCGUGCCAGCAGCCGCGGUAAUACGAAGGGGGCUAGCGUUGCUCGGAAUGACUGGGCGUAAAGGGCGCGUAGGCGGAUGGCACAGUCAGAUGUGAAAUUCCCGGGCUUAACCUGGGGGCUGCAUUUGAUACGUGUUGUCUAGAGUGAGGAAGAGGGUCGUGGAAUUCCCAGUGUAGAGGUGAAAUUCGUAGAUAUUGGGAAGAACACCGGUGGCGAAGGCGGCGACCUGGUCCUUGACUGACGCUGAGGCACGAAAGCUAGGGGAGCAAACAGGAUUAGAUACCCUAGUAGUCCUAGCCCUAAACGAUGAUUGUUUGAUGUGGGGGGUACCCAAUCCUCCCGUGUCGAAGCUAACGCGAUAAACAAUCCGCCUGGGGAGUACGGUCGCAAGGCUGAAACUCUAAAGGAAUGACGG